rnacentral:rRNA from 1 species
UGGGGAAUCUUGCGCAAUGGGCGAAAGCCUGACGCAGCGACGCCGCGUGCGGGAAGAAGGCCUUCGGGUUGUAAACCGCUUUCAGGAGGGACGAAGCCACUCGGGUUAACAGCCCAGAGGGUGACGGUACCUCCAGAAGAAGCCCCGGCUAACUACGUGCCAGCAGCCGCGGUAAUACGUAGGGGGCAAGCGUUGUCCGGAUUUAUUGGGCGUAAAGAGCGUGUAGGCGGUCAGGUAGGUCGGUUGUGAAAACUGGAGGCUCAACCUUCAGAGGUCGACCGAAACCCCCUGGCUAGAGUCCGGGAGAGGAGAGUGGAAUUCCUGGUGUAGCGGUGAAAUGCGCAGAUAUCAGGAAGAACACCCGUGGCGAAAGCGGCUCUCUGGAACGGUACUGACGCUGAGACGCGAAAGCGUGGGGAGCGAACAGG